rnacentral:rRNA from 1 species
GACGAACGCUGGCGGCGUGCUUAACACAUGCCAGUCGAACGCUGAAGCUCAGCUUUUGUUGGGUGGAUGAGUGGCGAACGGGUGAGUAACACGUGAGUAACCUGCCUCCUUCUUUGGGAUAACGCCCGGAAACGGGUGCUAAUACUGGAUAUUCACUGGUCUUCGCAUGGGGGUUGGUGGAAAGGGUUUUUCUGGUGGGGGAUGGGCUCGCGGCCUAUCAGCUUGUUGGUGGGGUGAUGGCCUACCAAGGCUUUGACGGGUAGCCGGCCUGAGAGGGUGACCGGUCACAUUGGGACUGAGAUACGGCCCAGACUCCUACGGGAGGCAGCAGGGGGGAAUAUUGCACAAUGGGCGCAAGCCUGAUGCAGCGACGCCGCGUGAGGGAUGGAGGCCUUCGGGUUGUGAACCUCUUUCGCUCAUGGUCAAGCCGCAACAAUGGUUGUGGUGAGGGUAGUGGGUAAAGAAGCGCCGGCUAACUACGUG